rnacentral:rRNA from 1 species
AUGAAGACGACCUCACAGAGCAUACUCGGGGGCUCUCGCUCCCACGGAAAGCUUGCGUCGCCGCCGCGCGUCUUAGAGAAGCUUCCGCCCGCGGCCGCCGGCGCGGCCUCCACCUUAGUUUGUAGCUCGAGCAUGGACGGCAGUAACGCGCUGAUUUUGCCCUACAAGAGGAAGAACAAGGCUCAAGGCGAAGCCAAGAAUAGUAAGAAAAGCAGACAAGACCUGAAGAUACAGCUAAAAAAGCUGCAGAAAUUGGAGGAGGAAAAGCAAAAGAAGCUGCUGCAAGCAAGAAGCAUCGAGAUUUUGCGUAAUCGUAGGAUUUCAGUUGAUGGACAUUCGCUGCUGCAUGCCUCGGGCACUAUUGGUCAAGCUGAGACUUUGAAAGAAAAACUUAGGCGGGCUGCGCAGUUCUCCAGGGUAGGUUUGGUUGUUCUUGUUCCUGACGAACUCUCUUUAUUCAAGAAAGAUGGUUAUCAGAAAGAUUCUGAAAACAGUUAG